rnacentral:rRNA from 1 species
GAUGAACGCUAGCGGCAGGCUUAAUACAUGCAAGUCGAGGGGCAGCAGUUUUGUAGCAAUACAGAAGCUGGCGACCGGCAAACGGGUGCGGAACACGUACGCAACCUUCCUUUAACUGGAAGAUAGCCCACCGAAAGGUGGAUUAAUACUCCAUAACAUAUUGAAGAGGCAUCUCUUUGAUAUUAAAGCUCCGGCGGUUAAAGAUGGGCGUGCGUCUGAUUAGGUAGUUGGCGGGGUAACGGCCCACCAAGCCUUCGAUCAGUAGCUGAUGUGAGAGCAUGAUCAGCAACACGGGCACUGAGACACGGGCCCGACUCCUAUGGGAGGCAGCAGUAAGGAAUAUUGGUCAAUGGACGCAAGUCUGAACCAGCCAUGCCGCGUGGAGGAUGAAGGCCCUCUGGGUUGUAAACUUCUUUUCUUUGGGACGAAACCCCUGUUUCUACGGGGACUGACGGUACCAGAGGAAUAAGCACCGGCUAACUCCGUGCCAGCAGCCGCCGUAA